UACGUAGGGGGCUAGCGUUGUCCGGAAUCAUUGGGCGUAAAGCGCACGUAGGCGGACCGCUAAGUCGGAUGUGAAAGCCCUCGGCUUAACCGAGGAAGUGCAUUCGAAACUGACGGUCUUGAGUAUGGAAGAGGGUCGCGGAAUUCCCGGUGUAGAGGUGAAAUGCGUAGAGAUCGGGGGGAACACCCGUGGCGAAGGCGGCCGGCUGGGCCGUUCCUGACGCUGAGGCGCGAAGGCGUGGGGAGCGAACGGG
rnacentral:rRNA from 1 species